UACGGAGGAGGCAAGCGUUAUCCGGAAUUAUUGGGCGUAAAGCGUCCGUAGGGGGCUCGUCAAGUCUGCGGUCAAAGACCGGAGCUCAACUCCGGGCCGGCCGUGGAAACUGAAGAGCUAGAGUGCGGUAGGGGUAGAGGGAAUUCCCAGUGUAGCGGUGAAAUGCGUAGAGAUUGGGAAGAACACCGGUGGCGAAAGCGCUCUACUGGGCCGAAACUGACCCUGAGGGACGAAAGCUAGGGGAGCGAAUGGG
rnacentral:rRNA from 1 species